GAUGAACGCUGGCGGCGUGCCUAAGAAAGGAAAGGAGAGGGAAGGGAAGAGAAGCUUGGGGGGAGGAGGGGAGCGGCGGACGGGUGAGUAAAACGUGGAGAAAGUAUAGAGAAGAGUGGGAUAAUUUAGGGAAAAUGGAGUUAAUACAGGAGAAUAUUUUGAAAUGAAUGGUUCAAAAGUGAAAGACGGUCUUGCUGUCACUUAUAGAUGGAUCCGCGCUGCAUUAGCUAGUUGGUAAGGUAACGGCUUACCAAGGCAACGAUGCAUAGCCGACCUGAGAGUAUACUCGGCCACACUGAAACUGAGACACGAUCCAGACUCCUACGGGAGGCAGCAGUAGGGAAUCUUCCGCAAUGGGCGAAAGCCUGACGGAGCAACGCCGCGUGAGUGAUGAAGGUCUUCGGAUCCUAACCCUCUCUUCUUCUAUACGAACAUAUGUGUAAGUAACUGUGCACAUCUUGACAGUACCUAAUCAUAAAGCCCCUGCUCCCUACGUG
rnacentral:rRNA from 1 species